rnacentral:rRNA from 1 species
UACGUAGGUGGCAAGCGUUAUCCGGAUUUAUUGGGCGUAAAGGGAACGCAGACGGUCUUUUAAGUCUGAUGUGAAAGCCUUCGGCUUAACCGGAGUAGUGCAUUGGAAACUGGGAGACUUGAGUGCAGAAGAGGAGAGUGGAACUCCAUGUGUAGCGGUGAAAUGCGUAGAUAUAUGGAAGAACACCAGUGGCGAAGGCGAUUCUCUGGACUGUAACUGACGCUGAGGCUCGAAAGCGUGGGGAGCAAACAGG